UACGUAGGGGGCAAGCGUUGUCCGGAAUCAUUGGGCGUAAAGAGCGUGUAGGCGGCUUGGUAAGUCCGCUGUGAAAGUCCAGGGCUCAACCCUGGAAUGCCGGUGGAAACUGUCAAGCUUGAGUCCGGAAGAGGCGAGUGGAAUUCCUGGUGUAGCGGUGAAAUGCGCAGAUAUCAGGAGGAACACCAAUGGCGAAGGCAGCUCGCUGGGACGGUACUGACGCUGAGACGCGAAAGCGUGGGGAGCAAACAGGAUAGAAACCC
rnacentral:rRNA from 1 species